AAGGGUUCUGUCUCAUAUAGGAAGACCCGA
rnacentral:rRNA from 1 species